AAUGGGUCAGCGACUUAUAUUCUGUAGCAAGGUUAACCGAAUAGGGGAGCCGAAGGGAAACCGAGUCUUAACUGGGCGUUAAGUUGCAGGGUAUAGACCCGAAACCCGGUGAUCUAGCCAUGGGCAGGUUGAAGGUUGGGUAACACUAACUGGAGGACCGAACCGACUAAUGUUGAAAAAUUAGCGGAUGACUUGUGGCUGGGGGUGAAAGGCCAAUCAAACCGGGAGAUAGCUGGUUCUCCCCGAAAGCUAUUUAGGUAGCGCCUCGUGAAUUCAUCUCCGGGGGUAGAGCACUGUUUCGGCAAGGGGGUCAUCCCGACUUACCAACCCGAUGCAAACUGCGAAUACCGGAGAAUGUUAUCACGGGAGACACACGGC
rnacentral:rRNA from 1 species